AGGUUAACUUUCAAAAGCUAAUAAACAUCAAUUUUUUAAUAUCAAAAAUUGAUGUUUAAUAUUGUAGAUGAGAAGAUCGCAACAACUCAUUUAACCCGUCCCAAAUGGUAUAAUUUCAACUCGACUGAAUACUUUAAAUGUUGUGUCAGGUCAAUAGCACUUCAUGCUCAAAUUUUGAUGUUGGGUCUGGAUGAUGGUUCUAUUCACCUACUCCAUAUUACUUGUUACUAUGAUCUAAUGAAAUUGAGAAAGAGGAUUAAACACUCUAGAAAGAUUAUGGUUGACAUCAUACCUAUUAUUAACUUGACUAUUUUAGAAGUUGACGAAAAACCAUGCAUUGUCGCGACUACUGAACGCAGAGUUCAUUUAAUAAAUUUCUUCUAGAGAAUUAUAUUACAUUUUUAAUUUUCAUUUUAUAUCAUGAAAUUCUCAAAUUGUAUGAACGAAACCUAUGUAUAUACUGAUUUUACUGAGAUGGUUCACUUAAUAAAAAUUUUUCUUCAUUA